ACCCGGCCCCCGAGGUCACCCUCCCGGGGAGCGGCCGGGUAGGCCUCAGAGACUCUCCGGUCCGGACCCGCGCCAUCAACCCCCAUGCGCAGCGGCUGGGCCUGAGGCCUCGGCGACGGGGUUAGCCCCGGCCUGGAAGGACUGAGGGUGCAGAGGCUCGAGGCCUGGGGUAGGGGACGAUUCUGGAGGCUCCCCCGGCUCCCCGCUUACGGCCCUGGACGCCGCCACCCUGGGCAGGCGAUACACUCGCGUUAGGCACCGACUGGCUGUUCCCGGCGCCCUUCCUCGGAGAACGAUAAAGGAGGCAUCUCCCCACUCCACCCCACACAAACACCUAGACCUAGUCACUCUCAGCUUUCUGUAACCAGAGCUGGAGCAUAGGGGAAGCAAUCAUCCUGUCUAGAGAUUCCUGGAAGUUUUAGAUCAAGCUUGUCCAACCCGCGGUCCGGCACACGAUUCGUAAACUUUCUUAAAACA